rnacentral:rRNA from 1 species
UCACAGAGCCACAUCACCUUGUCAAUGCCCGAUCUCGUCCAAUCUCAAAAGCAAAGCAAGGCCAGACCUUGUUAGUACUUGGAUGGGAGACACAGUGGGGCAACAGGGACUGAA